CUACGGGCGGCAGCAGUGAGGAAUUUUGGUCAAUGGGGGAAACCCUGAACCAGCGACGCCGCGUGUGGGAUGAAGGGGCUUUGCCCUGUAAACCACUGUUGAGAGGGAAGAAAAGCUUUUUGAAAAGCUGGGACUGUACCUCUUUAGAAAGGAUCGGCUAACUACGGGCCAGCAGCCGCGGUAAUACGUAGGAUCCAAGCGUUGUCCGGAAUCACUGGGUAUAAAGGGUGCGUAGGCGGGCUUGUGCGUCAGAGGUUAAAUCCCACGGCUCAACCGUGGAUCUGCCUUUGAUACGGCAAGGCUUGAGUGUGAGAGAGGAUGGUAGAAUUCCUGGUGUAGCGGUGAAAUGCGUAGAUAUCAGGAGGAACACCAGUGGCGAAGGCGGCCAUCUGGCUCAUUACUGACGCUGAGGCACGAAAGCGUGGGGAGCGAACAGGAUUAGAUACCCCUGUAGUC
rnacentral:rRNA from 1 species